rnacentral:lncRNA from 1 species
UAAUAUGUCAUGUACAUUGUGCAAAAAAACAUCCUAUGAAACAGGAAAUAGCAGCAUUAUUAUAAGAUUUGACUUGUAAUAGAAAAUGGCUUUGAGUUGGUGCAUGAAGGGAGAAUCCAUGCCGUUCAAGUGCAACCCGAGGCGGCAGCACGAGUCGUGCCACUCGACGCCCUGGAGUUCAAUACGUGAGUAUUCAAAGGGCCAAAAUGCAUACAAAUUCCAAAAGUAGUGGAGGAGGAGAGGGGGAAUCUUUCUUUGAUCACUUGAGCCAGGGCCGUGAGGAAAUCUGCUGACAUUUGCCUCUGCUCUUGAUCAUGCGCUCGUGAGUGAUCGCAAAAAAACAACAAAAAAAAAGAUCAUGCGCUCGUGAGACGAUACUCCUGUGAACAUUUUUUUAUAUUAUCCCUUUGAUAAUAUAAAACUCUGGCUACUGAUACUUAUGAAAAUAUAAUAUUUUAUUUCAUACUAAGCAUCUUAUGCAUUUGACUAAUUUGCCAAAAAACUUAAAUUGAGGUAAUGGUUUUGCAUUUUGGCAAAGUUGACAAAUGAGAGAGGAGACUUGACAUUUUUGUCCAACCCCGGUGAAAGAGCAUCUAGGCCCCUAAGUGAUUUCGGUGAUUAAUGACAUUGUUGAUUACUAUGACUAACGUGUGUUUUGCAGAGGCAAAGUCAUAGGUAAGGUCAUGGUAAACAGGGACUCGAUGAACAGGGACGUACAUG